CUUGCUGGUUGUGGUGUUGUCAGUUUCAUAUUAAAUCUGUCAGCUCCAUGUCUGGUGAGUC
rnacentral:pre_miRNA from 1 species